rnacentral:rRNA from 1 species
UACAGAGGGGGCAAGCGUUAUUCGGAAUUAUUGGGCGUAAAGGGCGCGUAGGCGGCUUGGCAAGUGGAAGGUGAAAUCCCUCGGCUUAACCGAGGAACUGCCCUCCAAACUGCUUCGCUUGAGACCGGGAGAGGUGAGUGGAAUUCCCAGUGUAGCGGUGAAAUGCGUAGAUAUUGGGAGGAACACCAGUGGCGAAGGCGGCUCACUGGACUGGUACUGAUGCUGAUGCGCGAAAGCGUGGGGAGCAAACAGG